AGGAAUAAGCAUCGGCUAACUCCGUGCCACCAUCCGCGGUACUACGGAGGAUGCAAGCGUUAUCCGGAUUUACUGCGGUUUAAAGGGUGCGUAGGCGGGCUUGUAAGUCAGUGGUGAAAUGCUGUGGCUUAACCAUAGAAUUGCCAUUGAAACUGCAAGGUCUUGAGUACAGUUGAGGUGGGCGGAAUGAGUAAUGUAGCGGUGAAAUGCAUAGAUAUUACUCAGAACUCCGAUUGCGUAGGCAGCUUGCUAAACUGUAACUGACGCUGAUGCACGAAAGCGUGGGGAGCGAACAGGAUUAGAUACCCUGGUAGUCCACGCUGUAAACGAUGAGCACUGGUUGUUGGCAAUACACCGUCAGCGACUGAGCGAAAGUAUUAAGUGCUCCACCUGGGGAGUACGUCGGCAACGAUGAAACUCAAAGGAAUUGACGGGGGCCCGCACAAGCGGAGGAACAUGUGGUUUAAUUCGAUGAUACGCGAGGAACCUUACCUGGGCUUAAAUGUAGAGUGCAUUGCUUGGAAACAGGCAUUUUCUUCGGAACUCUUUACAAGGUGCUGCAUGGUUGUCGUCAGCUCGUGCCGUGAGGUGUCGGGUUAAGUCCCAUAACGAGCGCAACCCCUAUUGUUAGUUACCAGCACGUAAUGGUGGGGACUCUAGCAAGACUGCCGGUGUAAACCGUGAGGAAGGUGGGGAUGACGUCAAAUCAGCACGGCCAUUAUGUCCAGGGCUACACACGUGUUACAAUGGCAAGUACAAAGAGCAGCCACCUGGCGACAGGGCGCUAAUCUCAAAAGCUUGCCUCAGUUCGGAUCGAAGUCUGCAACUCGACUUCGUGAAGGUGGAUUCGCUAGUAAUCGCGCAUCAGCUAUGGCGCGGUGAUACGUUCCCGGGCAUUGUACACACCGCCCGUCAAGCCAUGGAAGCCGGGGGUACCUGAAGUCCGUAACCGC
rnacentral:rRNA from 1 species